rnacentral:misc_RNA from 1 species
AAGUCGUAACAAGGUUUCCGUAGGUGAACCUGCGGAAGGAUCAUUAUUGAAUGAACAUGGAGUUUGGUUGUUGCUGGCCCCUUUAUUGGGGCAUGUGCACACCUCCUCUAUUCAUCCACACACACCUGUGAACUUGUGAGACGGAUAGUAGCCCUCUCGGGGGCGAGGUCCGUCUGCUAUACAUAAACUCCAGUAUAUAAAUUCGAAUGUCAUUUGAUGUAACACAUCUAUAAACUAAGUUUCAACAACGGAUCUCUUGGCUCUC